rnacentral:rRNA from 1 species
GAUGAACGCUGGCGGCGUGCCUAAUACAUGCAAGUCGAGCGAACGGACGAGAAGCUUGCUUCUCUGAUGUUAGCGGCGGACGGGUGAGUAACACGUGGAUAACCUACCUAUAAGACUGGGAUAACUUCGGGAAACCGUAGCUAAUACCGGAUAAUAUUUUGAACCGCAUGGUUCAAAAGUGAAAGACGGUCUUGCUGUCACUUAUAGAUGGAUCCGCGCUGCAUUAGCUAGUUGGUAAGGUAACGGCUUACCAAGGCAACGAUGCAUAGCCGACCUGAGAGGGUGAUCGGCCACACUGGAACUGAGACACGGUCCAGACUCCUACGGGAGGCAGCAGUAGGGAAUCUUCCGCAAUGGGCGAAAGCCUGACGGAGCAACGCCGCGUGAGUGAUGAAGGUCUUCGGAUCGUAAAACUCUGUUAUUAGGGAAGAACAUAUGUGUAAGUAACUGUGCACAUCUUGACGGUACCUAAUCAGAAAGCCACGGCUAACUACGUGCCAGCAGCCGCGGUAAUACGUAGGUGGCAAGCGUUAUCCGGAAUUAUUGGGCGUAAAGCGCGCGUAGGCGGUUUUUUAGUCUGAUGUGAAAGCCCACGGCUCAACCGUGGAGGGUCAUUGGAAACUGGAAAACUUGAGUGCAGAAGAGGAAAGUGGAAUUCCAUGUGUAGCGGUGAAAUGCGCAGAGAUAUGGAGGAACACCAGUGGCGAAGGCGACUUUCUGGUCUGUAACUGACGCUGAUGUGCGAAAGCGUGGGGAUCAAACAGGAUUAGAUACCCUGGUAGUCCACGCCGUAAACGAUGAGUGCUAAGUGUUAGGGGGUUUCCGCCCCUUAGUGCUGCAGCUAACGCAUUAAGCACUCCGCCUGGGGAGUACGACCGCAAGGUUGAAACUCAAAGGAAUUGACGGGGACCCGCACAAGCGGUGGAGCAUGUGGUUUAAUUCGAAGCAACGCGAAGAACCUUACCAAAUCUUGACAUCCUCUGACCCCUCUAGAGAUAGAGUUUUCCCCUUCGGGGGACAGAGUGACAGGUGGUGCAUGGUUGUCGUCAGCUCGUGUCGUGAGAUGUUGGGUUAAGUCCCGCAACGAGCGCAACCCUUAAGCUUAGUUGCCAUCAUUAAGUUGGGCACUCUAAGUUGACUGCCGGUGACAAACCGGAGGAAGGUGGGGAUGACGUCAAAUCAUCAUGCCCCUUAUGAUUUGGGCUACACACGUGCUACAAUGGACAAUACAAAGGGCAGCGAAACCGCGAGGUCAAGCAAAUCCCAUAAAGUUGUUCUCAGUUCGGAUUGUAGUCUGCAACUCGACUAUAUGAAGCUGGAAUCGCUAGUAAUCGUAGAUCAGCAUGCUACGGUGAAUACGUUCCCGGGUCU